rnacentral:lncRNA from 1 species
ACAUAACAAUAAAAGUCUACACUGAAGAAGGUCCCACAGACGGCUCUGCAUCAUCAACCAUCUUGGUAAACUUCACGGCGAACCUGAGCUCAGUGUUCUCCUGCUGCAGUCUUCCCACCUCCUUCUGGUGAAUCUUCAUCUGUCGGAAAUAAUGGUCCCUCUCAGCAAGAUAAUGGUCUCUCUCAACAAUAAUCUUCACGUUCUCUUCUUCC